ensembl:snoRNA SNORD58 Small nucleolar RNA SNORD58
CUGCGAUGAUGGCAUUUCUUAGGACACCUUUGGAUUAAUCAUGAAAACAGCUACUCUCUGAGCAGC